AGCUCCAAUAGCGUAUAUUAAAGUUGCUGCAGUUAAAAAGCUCGUAGUUGGAUUUCUGACAAAGCGCGCUUAGGCCGCCAUGGUUACAUGGGGAGUCCUGAGCUGCGCUUGUCAUCCUUCUAGGUUAGGAUUGCCAGCCUUCACUGGUUUGGUGAUUCUGGACUAGAUCUUUUACUUUGACAAAAUUAGAGUGUUCAAAGCAGGCUUUCCGCUAUGAAUACAUUAGCAUGGAAUAAUAAUCUAGGACUUUGGUCUUAUUUUGUUGGUUUCUAGGACUAGAGUAAUGAUUGAUAGGGAUAGUUGGGGGUGCUAGUAUUCAGUGGCCAGAGGUGAAAUUCUUGGAUUCACUGAAGACUAACUUAUGCGAAAGCAUUCACCAAGGAUGUCUUCU
rnacentral:rRNA from 1 species